UGUUGUGAAGCAACGUGUAAACAAAUGUAACGUAUUUCGCAACACAAACCUAACUGAUUAAUAACACUAGAACUUUCUUUGCUAGUAUAAAAAGCCGCAUAGAAGCAAAUAACUUUAUACUGCUAACUUAUAAUACAUACAACGAUAGAUCUGAAAGAAGGACAAUUUAAACGAUUACAAUGGAUAAAACAACAACAACAGACCUUUUGAGAGAUUUGACGCAAUUAACAGCUUAUUUAAAAGAUAAUUACAAAGAAGAUCCAGUAUGUCAAGAAUGGGCUACAACAUUUGAUUCAAAGUAUUACAUGAAAUUGGUUAAUGCAUGUUAACCAACAAAGCAGCAAACAAGGAGUACUUUAAAAGAAAAACUUAAAGAAGAAAUUACGAAAUCAUUUGGAUAAGGAGAAGUUCCAGAAAAGUUUGCAGUGGACACAUCAAAUCAUGAUAAAUGUAUUGAAAGCAUUAAAAAUUUAGAUCAGCAGAUAUGCAGGAACAAACGGCAUAUAGUUUUUUGUACACAUAAAAUUGGAUUUAUAAUUAAAACAAUACAAUUAACUUGCCCAAAGGAUUGUGAUCUAGGACUUUAUUUUCAUAUCAAAGGUAUAUAUAUAUAUAUAUGUGUGUGUGUGUGUGUUUGUGGAGUGCACGUCUGCGUGCUGUAGGUUUCGUUUUGGGGAGGCUGCGAUUUUGGUACGUGGCAUUCCCUGUUUGAUAUUUGUCUGUUUUUUUUACACAGAUUCCUACUGUCGAAACCUGAUUUUAGUUUAUGAAUUAAUUGAGAAACAUAAAAAUUUAUUGAAGUGUGCUUUAAAUAUUGGAACUUAAAGUAAAAACAGGAAAUUAAUUGAAGAAAUAUGUACAGAUCUAGUUCAAUUGGUAACAAAAUCAGCUUUUAACAGUAGGAAUCUAUGUAAGGAUUCCAUGUAUAAUGUUCACGUUUAUUUAUAGUAACGUUUACAGUGUAAACGCACGUCACUUCCGUGUACAAUGUUCAAGUUUAUUUUUAACAUUAGUGGAAUUUCUAUGUAUUUGUACUUUUAUUUAUAGUAACGUUUACGGUGUAAACGCACGUCACUUCCGUGUACAAUGUUCAAGUUAAUUUUUUGCAUUAGUGGAAUUUUUACGUUUAUUUAUAGUAACGUUUACAGAGUAAACGCACGUCACUUCCGUGUACAAUGUUCAAGUUUAUUGGAAUUUCUAUGUAUUUUUAGAUUACAUGUUGCAUUGAGAUAUAAAAUAAUUCACAAUUGUUUGUUCAUUAUGUUUUACAUUAUUAAUUUUUAGUAUUUUAUACAAUAAAUCAUAAAUGUGUAUACCAUCUUGUAACAUUUUUAUGAAAAAUAAACAAUAAUAACCACACAGUACACUUA